GGAGAGGUCGCAUAGUGGUCUAUUGCACUUGCUUGGAAAGCAAGCGUACCGCAAGGUACCGAGGGUUCGAAUCCCUCCCUCUCCGCCA
rnacentral:tRNA from 1 species